rnacentral:tRNA from 1 species
CCCUGAAUAGCUCAGUCAGUAGAGCAUAAGACUCUUAAUCUCAGGGUUGUGGGGUUUCAGCCCCACAUUGGGCA